CUAUUUUUGACAGCUUCAUAUAUCGGAAAAAAGUGGGUAUUUUUUACACCUUAUAGGGUAAUGUCAAGUUUACAGUGUGCAGUAAGCAUUUGGUCGGGUUUGAUUGAUUCCGACAGUAAACUUACUGCUUCAACGAAGGCUUCCAAUUGUUGUGGCAAACCAUCAUAUGGUUGUACCAGCGCAAUAGCAUUUUUCAGAUCAAAAUUUUCUUCCGGCGGCGGCAUUUUUGGCGUUUCGUCUGAGCUGGCUAACUUUCGUUUAGUUAUUGUGCAAAUUUCCCAAUAGAUGUCUCUAGUUUGCUUACAGAUUUCGUUGAAUUCGUUGGACGGUAAUUCCUGGUACUUUUCGUCUAGACAAUUUUCGAUCACUUCUUUUAAUUCUUUGGCUAAAUUAAGAUUCGACUCUAAAGUGUCUUUAGAAAUUUGCUUGUAGAUUGACUUUUUAAGGUUGUCUUUGAUUCUUUUUAGGUCGCUUAUUGCUGGCCUGAUAGUUGGGAAUAAUAAAAUGUUUGCUAUUGGUGGGAUUUGUUUUCUCGGGUAAUUCAUAACAAAAUCGAAUACAUAUCAAGUUAUCUAAUACAUACAUCACAGACAAACAUACAUGUUUGUACAAUGCUGUUCCUGUUCAUACUCGGCCAAUACCUUGUUGUUGUUGUACUGCUGGUGCUGCUUGGCUCAUCACGGCUAUGCGGCUAAGUUUUGCACUGUCGUACUGCUUGGCUCAUCACGGCUACGUUUUGCACUGCGGGACGGUUGAGCAGCUACCUGCUUGCUGCUUUCCGUGUGAUUUUUUUUUUGUAAACUGUCACUUGUCUAUCGGUGGUUUGACGUACUUUACUAUUAUCACUUCGAUACUGUUGCUGAAUUUUGUGAACUGUCAAAGUCUGUUUUUCAAAGCCUUUUCAAGUGCACUCCGUGUUUUCGUCUAGUGAAAUAGUGACACUUCAUUGAGUUGUUGUUCGAUUAUCGCGCACAAGAUGUAGAAUGUCGCUAGCAUAAGAGCUACCGCUACACAGAAAAGCGCAAUUGGCUGAUACAUUUUGAAUUGUUCAGGCUAACUGCAUUGUUCACGCGUGUCUGGGUACGCAUACGUUCGUAGUUAGUGAUUAACUUAUACGCCAGGUAAAUAAGUACGAAAAUCACUAUGGCCACUAAGGUGUACGCAAUAACUUCCGUCGAAACUGUGGUUCUCUCGGCGUGUUCCUUGUUUUUCGCGUUGCUAGCAUUGAUUAUGCUCACAAUUUGUUCGUGUGUAACCGGUGGCACUGCUGGUUUUGUUUCGGUUGAACCCAUUUUUGCUUCAGUUACACCAGAUUUUCACUUUAAACCGAACUUAAUUCUUUCGUCACGGUCGCCAUGUAAUAGGUUACCGGACUUCGGAUAUUAAACUUGACUUAACUAACUGAGUGAUGGUUAACGAAUGAAUCUUUAUUUCGGAGAAGGCUUAAGUGGUAACCUAAUGUGGUAAAGAAUGGUUGAACGAGGAGUGAGCACAACGCUUGGUAUAUUUGAUAAACAGAUGUCGUAAAUGCGGACAGUGCUUGUUGUGCACAUAUGGUAACAAUUUGGAG